CGGAAUCAUUGGGCGUAAAGCGUCUGUAGGUUGUUUAAUAAGUCUGUUGUUAAAGACUAGGGCUUAACCCUAGAAAAGCAAUGGAAACUACUAGACUUGAGUAUGGCAGGGGUAGAGGGAAUUUCUAGUGUAGCGGUGAAAUGCGUAGAUAUUAGAAAGAACACCAGUGGCGAAAGCGCUCUACUGGACCAUUACUGACACUCAGAGACGAAAGCUAGGGUAGCAAAAGGGAUUAGAUACCCCUGUAGUCCUAGCCGUAAACGAUGGAUACUAGAUGUUGUGUUUAAUAUGCAGUAUCGUAGCUAACGCGUUAAGUAUCCCGCCUGGGGAGUACGCUCGCAAGGGUGAAACUCAAAGGAAUUGACGGGGGCCCGCACAAGCGGUGGAGCAUGUGGUUUAAUUCGAUGCAACGCGAAGAACCUUACCAGGACUUGACAUACUACAAAUUUCUUUGAAAAAAGGAAGUGCCUUCGGGAAUGUAGAUACAGGUGGUGCAUGGCUGUCGUCAGCUCGUGUCGUGAGAUGUUGGGUUAAGUCCCGCAACGAGCGCAACCCUUAUUUCUAGUUACUAAUUAAUUAGGUUUUCUAGAAAGACUGCCGGUGACAAACCGGAGGAAGGUGAGGAUGACGUCAAGUCAGCAUGCCCCUUAUGUCCUGGGCUACACACGUGCUACAAUGGUUAAAACAAAGGGUCGCGAGCUUGUGAGAGUCAGCUAAUCCCAUAAAUUUAGCCUAAGUUCAGAUUGUAGGCUGCAA
rnacentral:rRNA from 1 species